AAUGAACGCUGGCGGCGUGCCUAACACAUGCAAGUCGAGCGAGAAAGUCCCCGUUCGGGGGCGAGUAAAGCGGCGCACGGGUGAGUAACGCGUGGGUAACCUGCCCUUGAGUGGGGGAUAACCAGCCGAAAGGCUGACUAAUCCCGCAUACGACCGGCAGACACAAGUCUGUCGGGGAAAGAUGGCCUCUGCUUGCAAGCUAUCGCUCUUGGAUGGGCCCGCGUUGGAUUAGCUAGUUGGUGGGGUAACGGCCUACCAAGGCUGCGAUCCAUAGCUGGUUUGAGAGGACGACCAGCCACACUGGAACUGAGACACGGUCCAGACUCCUACGGGAGGCAGCAGUGAGGAAUAUUGCGCAAUGGGGGAAACCCUGACGCAGCGACGCCGUGUGAGCGAUGAAGGCCUUCGGGUCGUAAAGCUCUGUCAGAGGGAAAGAAAGGGUCGGCGGAAUAAUACCCGCCGACAUUGACGGUACCCUCGGAGGAAGCACCGGCUAACUCCGUG
rnacentral:rRNA from 1 species